rnacentral:rRNA from 1 species
GAUGAACGCUGACAGAAUGCUUAACACAUGCAAGUCAACUUGAAUUUGGGUUUUUAACUUAGAUUUGGGUGGCGGACGGGUGAGUAACGCGUAAAGAACUUGCCUCACAGCUAGGGACAACAUUUAGAAAUGAAUGCUAAUACCUGAUAUUAUGGUUAUAGGGCAUCCUAUAAUUAUGAAAGCUAUAAGCACUGUGAGAGAGCUUUGCGUCCCAUUAGCUAGUUGGAGAGGUAACAGCUCACCAAGGCAAUGAUGGGUAGCCGGCCUGAGAGGGUGAACGGCCACAAGGGGACUGAGACACGGCCCUUACUCCUACGGGAGGCAGCAGUGGGGAAUAUUGGACAAUGGACCGAGAGUCUGAUCCAGCAAUUCUGUGUGCACGAUGAAGUUUUUCGGAAUGUAAAGUGCUUUCAGUUGGGAAGAAAAAAAUGACGGUACCAACAGAAGAAG